GACGAACGCUGGCGGCGUGCUUAACACAUGCAAGUCGAACGGACAGGCCCUGCUUUUGUGGGGUGCUCGAGUGGCGAACGGGUGAGUAAAACGCGAGUAAACUGCACUUGACUUUGGGAUAACUUCAGGAAACUGGGGCUAAUACCGGAUAGGAGCUCCUGCUGCAUGGUGGGGGUUGGAAAGUUUCGGCGGUUGGGGAUGGACUCGCGGCUUAUCAGCUUGUUGGUGGGGUAGUGGCUUACAAAGGCUUUGACGGGUAGCCGGCCUGAGAGGGUGAACGGGCACAAGGGGACUGAGAUACGGACCAGUCGGCAACGGUAGGCAGCAGGGGGGAAUAUUGCACAAUGGGCGGAAGCCUGAUGCGGCAACGCCGCGUUCGUGAUGACGGCCUUCUGGGUGUAAACCGCUUUGGCCUGUGACGAAGCGGGAGUGACGGUAAUGGGUAAGGAAGCACCGGCUAACUACGUG
rnacentral:rRNA from 1 species